UACGGAGGGUGCGAGCGUUGUCCGGAAUCACUGGGCGUAAAGGGCGCGUAGGCGGCCUGAUAAGUAGGGGGUGAAAUCCUGCGGCUUAACCGCAGGGCUGCCUUCUAAACUGUCGGGCUCGAGCACAGUAGAGGCAGGUGGAAUUCCCGGUGUAGCGGUGGAAUGCGUAGAGAUCGGGAAGAACAGCAGUGGCGAAGGCGGCCUGCUGGGCCGUUGCUGACGCUGAGGCGCGACAGCGUGGGGAGCAAACAGG
rnacentral:rRNA from 1 species